GACGAACGCUGGCGGCGUGCUUAACACAUGCAAGUCGAACGGAAAGGCCCUGCGUGCUUGCGGUUCUCGAGUGGCGAACGGGUACGUAACACGAGAGUAACCUGCCCUUGACUUUGGGAUAACUUCAGGAAACUGGAGCUAAUACCGGAUCGGAGCUCCUGCUGCAUGGUGGGGGUUGGAAAGUUUCGGCGGUUGGGGAUGGACUCGCGGCUUAUCAGCUUGUUGGUGGGGUAGUGGCUUACCAAGGCUUUGACGGGUAGCCGGCCUGGGAGGGUGAACGGCGACAUUGCGACUGAGAGACGCACCAGACGGGUACGGGAGGCAGCGGUGGCGAGUCUGGCACAGUGAGCGGGAGCGUGUGACGGCAGCGCUGCGUUCGGAAUGACGGCCUGCGGGUUAUAAACAGCUUUCGGCUGUGACGAAGCGUGAGUGACGGUAAUGGGUAAAGAAGCACCGGCUAACUACGUG
rnacentral:rRNA from 1 species